GUCCUUUUGAAUUUAAUUUAAGGUCUAAUCUGCUCAGUGAAAAUUUAAAUAGCCGCAGUAUUCUAACUGUGCAAAGGUAGCAUAAUAAUUAGUUUUUUAAUUGAAAGCUGGAAUGAAUGAUUGAACGAGAAAAUAACUGUCUCUUUAUAAUUUUUAUUGAAUUUUACUUUUAAGUGAAAAGGCUUAAAUGUUUUUAAAAGACGAGAAGACCCUAUAGAGUUUUAUUUGUAUGGGGUAUAUUGGUAUUGAAUUUUUCUAAUACAAAUUUGGUUGGGGUGACUGAAAGAUUAAAUUAACUCUUUUAAUUUUUAUCAUUGAUUAAUGAAUAUAAAAUCUUUAUUUUUAAAUUUAAACUAAAUUACCUUAGGGAUAACAGCGUAAUUUUUCUUUAGAGUU
rnacentral:rRNA from 1 species